rnacentral:antisense_RNA from 1 species
CUUGACGGAGCCGAGCAGCAGCGGUCGGUCGUCCUCGCGGUGCUGCCCGUAGGUGGCCAGCAACGCCUGCACCUC